ACCCGUGUUUAGGAUAUUGUGCGUGGGCUCUGGGUUGCUAGCCGGUUUGAGGGUGCAUUUUGUCUCGACCAAUCCUGCGAGGUGCUCUAGGUCCCGGCAUGCCCAAUGCGGGCAGGGGGAGGCUCCGGCCAAUUUGAAUGAAGACUCGAGCUUUCGGCGCCAUUUUCGAGUGAGCAGCUCCAGCAAUAACAGCUGCACAGAGAGCUCCACACUGGAGUCCUGUAAUUUGAGUGAGGGGACACUUUUUUCUUUUUGUUACCAGAGAACAAUUUUUUUUUCUGUAUUCGACCACAAAUUUGAGGCAUCUGUUUUCCGGUGGAUGAAUGCGACGGACACAAAGGACGAUGUGGUGACAACAAAUAGUGAAGUGGAGACUGAAGUGAGCUAGGAGGCUAAUCCGGCUAGCAUCUCCAGCAGAGAAUGGGCGUCCGAUCGGAGCCGCGCUUUGGAAACGAUAUAUUUUUGUAUUAUUUUUCGAAAAAAUCUAACAAAUACGCGGAUUACUUGAAAAUUCUUGAAAAAAAUCGGAAAAUUAUUACAGGGGACGACGAAUAGAUCGGUGUGGGUUGUUUGGUGGAGCGAGGUGGUUUUGUGCAUUUUUUAAACGUUAAGUUUGAGCGGGAUUGGUGAUGUGCGCGAGACGGCCGGCGAGCCCGACAGCCUAUCAGCGAGCGAGACACCGGGAUGCCACACCGACCGACACUCUCCUGUUCUUUACUACAGUUUUUGUUCCUCUUUCUACAAGAUAGCAACGAUGACCAGAGUGCCCUUUAUUUCUUCCGUUUUUUUUUCUUUCUGCACGAACUGUAUCUGUGUGCACCGUCAGAAUAUGAAACUGCAAACUUUUUUUUCUUUUUUUGUGGAUUUACAAUAUCAUGAAUGUUCAGGUGUUUUAGUUUUUCUUCCCAGGAGUUGAUCCUGCCUGGGACCGUAGGGAAACCCCCACAAAAUUUGCCUGGUUGUGACAUCAGAAACCUUGAAAACAAUUGAAGAUGGAGCCCUGGAAUGCCUCAAGCCCUGCUGAGAGAAAGAGAGGGAGGAGAGGAGUCACUCGCUCUGUGAUUCUGGCAGUGCUUGGUCAUGUUGCCGAGGGUGUGAGUGUGUGAAAGAGAGAGAGGGACCCUCUCUAGGUGAUGGUGUAGCAGCACAGAAUGGUUUGUGAUGAUACAGAGAUACAGGCCGUGAUGUGCUGCAGCAUCAA